rnacentral:rRNA from 1 species
UACGUAGGUGGCAAGCGUUGUCCGGAUUUACUGGGCGUAAAGGGCUCGUAGGCGGCCAACUAAGUCGGACGUGAAAUCCCUCAGCUUAACUGGGGAACUGCGUCUGAUACUGGAUGGCUUGGAUUUGGGAGAGGGAUGCGGAAUUCCAGGUGUAGCGGUGAAAUGCGUAGAUAUCUGGAGGAACACCGGUGGCGAAGGCGGCAUCCUGGACCAACAUUGACGCUGAGGAGCGAAAGCCAGGGGAGCAAACGGG